GGAAGGAUCAUUAAUGAAUAUAAACUUGGUGAACUGAUGCUGGCUCUGAAACCUUGGAGCAAGUGCACGUUUAUCAUUUUUUAAUUUUCCCUCUGUGCAUUUUAUGUAGGCUUAGGACUCAGAAAUGAUUCUUUGCAUUUGGGACUGCUGUGUUUUUGACUUUUCAUUAAUCAGCUUUCCCUUUUCUUUUCCAAGUCUAUGUUUUUCACAUACACCCAUUUGUUUAGAAUGUUGUAUAACAUAAGAAAUACAAUACAACUUUCAGCAACGGAUCUCUUGGCUCUCGCAUCGAUGAAGAACGCAGCGAAAUGCGAUAAGUAAUGUGAAUUGCAGAAUUCAGUGAAUCAUCGAAUCUUUGAACGCAUCUUGCACUCCUUGGUAUUCUGAGGAGUAUGCCUGUUUGAGUAUCAUUAAACUAUCAACUGUGCCAACUUUUAUAUUGGAUCACAGAUUGGACAAUGGGAGGUAUUAUAUUUGCAGGCUUUACAAAGUCAGCUCUCCUGAAAUGCAUUAGCAGUUCCUGUAUUGGUUCUUGGGUGUGUGAUAAUAUUUCUUAUACCCUUUGAUCGAAUGUAUCUGCUUCCAAUGAUUGACUUGACUUGAAUUGAUCUUGAUCUCAAAUCAGGUAGGAUUACCCGCUGAACUUAAGCAUAUCAAUAAGCGGAGGAAAAGAAACUAACAAGGAUUCCCCUAGUAACUGCGAGUGAAGCGGGAAGAGCUCAAAUUUGAAAUCUGACAGUUAUCUUUUGCUGUCCGAGUUGUAAUCUGGAGAAGUGUUACCCGUGCUGGACCAUGUACAAGUCUCCUGGAAUGGAGCAUCAUAGAGGGUGAGAAUCCUGUCUUUGACAUGGACUGCCAGUGCUUUUGUGGUGCACUCUCAAAGAGUCGAGUUGUUUGGGAAUGCAGCUCAAAAUUGGUGGUAAAUGCCAUCUAAAGCUAAAUAUUGGCGAGAGACCGAUAGCGAACAAGUACCGUGAGGGAAAGAUGAAAAGAACUUUGGAAAGAGAGUUAAACAGUACGUGAAAUUGCUGAAAGGGAAACGCUUGAAGUCAGUCGCAUUGGUUGGAAAUCAGCCUUGCUUUUGCUUGAUGUACUUUCCAUCUAAUGGGUCAGCAUCAAUUUUGAUUGCUGGAUAAAGGCUUGGGGAAUGUGGCAUCUCAGGAUGUGUUAUAGCCCUUUGUUGUAUACAGCAGUUGGGAUUGAGGAACUCAGCAUGCCGCAAGGCCUGGUCUUUAUGACCAUGUUCAUGCUUAGGAUGCUGGCAUAAUGGCUUUAAUCGACCCGUCUUGAAACACGGACCAAGGAGUCUAACAUGCAUGCGAGUGUUUGGGUGGAAAACCCAUGCGCGUAAUGAAAGUGAAAGUUGAGAUCCCUGUCGUGGGGAGCAUUGACACCCAGACCAGACCUUUUGUGACGGAUCUGUGGUAGAGCAUGUAUGUUGGGACCCGAAAGAUGGUGAACUAUGCCUGAAUAGGGUGAAGCCAGAGGAAACUCUGGUGGAGGCUCGUAGCGAUUCUGACGUGCAAAUCGAUCGUCAAAUUUGGGUAUAGGGGCGAAAGACUAAUCGAACCAUCUAGUAGCUGGUUCCUGC
rnacentral:misc_RNA from 1 species